GGCUAUCAUGUGUUUGAAGAUACCCUAAACUUAACCUAACAUAACCUAUCAAAACCCCAAACAGUUAUUAUAUGGAUUGACUCAGAAAAUUCAUAUAUGCUUCCUUACUAAUGAGACUUUCUAUACAACUAAGUGAGGGAAUUCUUUGAUGAUUUAUACUGUAAAGUGCUGGCUAUCAUGUGUUUGAAGAUACCCUAAACUUAACCUAACAUAACCUAUCAAAACCCCAAACAGUUAUUAUAUGGAUUGACUCAGAAAAUUCAUAUAUGCUUCCUUACUAAUGAGACUUUCUAUACAACUAAGUGAGGCCAUUCUUUGUUGAUUCAUACUGUAAAGUGCUGGCUAUCAUGUGUUUGAAGAUACCCUAAACUUAACCUAACAUAACCUAUCAAAACCCCAAACAGUUAUUAUAUGGAUUGACUCAGAAAAUUCAUAUAUGCUUCCUUACUAAUGAGACUUUCUAUACAACUAAGUGAGGUCAUUCUUUGUUGAUAUAUACUGUAAAGUGCUGGCUAUCAUGUGUUUGAAGAUAUCCUAAACUUAACCUAACAUAACCUAUCAAAACCCGAAACAGUUACUAUAUGGAUUAACUCAGAAAAUUCAUAUAUGCUUCCUUACUAACGAGACUUUCUAUACAACUAAGUGAGGUCAUUCUUUGUUGAUUUAUACUGUAAAGUGCUGGCUAUCAUGUGUUUGAAGAUACGCUAAACCUAACCUAACAUAACCUAUCAAAACCCAAAAGUUACUAUAUAUGGAUUGACUCAAAAAAUUCAUAUAUGCUUCCUUACUAACAAGACUCUCUAUACAACUAAGUGAGGUCAUUCUUUGUUGAUUUAUACUGUAAAGUGCUGGCUAUCAUGUGUUUGAAGAUACCCUAAACUUAACCUAACAUAACCUAUCAAAACCCCAAACAGUUACUAUAUGGAUUGACUCAGAAAAUUCAUAUAUGCUUCCUUACUAAUGAGACUUUGAAUACAACUUAGUGAGGUCAUUCUUUGUUGAUAUAUACUGUAAAGUGCUGGCUAUCAUGUGUUUGAAGAUACCCUAAACUUAACCUAACAGAACCUAUCAAAACCCCAAACAGUUACUAUAUGGAUUGAUUCAGAAAAUUCAUAUAUGCUUCCUUACUAGUGAGACUUUCUAUAGAACUAAGUGAGGUCUUUCUUUGUUGAUUCAUACUGUAAAGUGCUGGCUAUCAUGUGUUUGAAGAUACCCUAAACUUAACCUAACAUAACCUAUCAAAACCCCAAACAGUUACUUAAGGGAUUGACUCAGAAAAUUCAUAUAUACUUCCUUACUAAUGAGACUUUCUAUAGAACUAAGUGAGGUCAUUCUUUGUUGAUAUAUACUGUAAAGUGCUGGCUAUCAUGUGUUUGAAGAUACCCUAAACUUAACCUAUCAAAACGUCAAACAGUUACUAUAUGGAUUGACUCAGAAAAUUCAUAUAUGCUUCCUUACUUAUGAGACUUUCUAUAUAACUAAGUGAGGUCAUUCUUUGUUGAUUUAUACUGUAAAGUGCUGGCUAUCAUGUGUUUGAAGAUACCCUAAACUUAACCUAUCAAAACCCCAAACAGUUACUAUAGGUCUUGACUCAGAAAAUUCAUAUAUGCUUCCUUACUAAUGAGACUUUCUAUACAACUAAGUGAGGUCAUUCUUUGUUGAUUUAUACUGUAAAGUGCUGGCUAUCAUGUGUUUGAAGAUACCCUAAACUUAACCUAACAUAACCUAUCAAAACCCCAAACAGUUACUAUAGGUCUUGUCUCAGAAAAUUCAUAAAUGCUUCCUUACUAAUGAGACUUUCAAUACAACUAAGUGAGGUCUUUCUUUGUUGAUUCAUACUGUAAAGUGCUGGCUAUCAUGUGUUUGAAGAUACCCUAAACUUAACCUAACAUAACCUAUCAAAACCCCAAACAGUUACUACAGGUCUUGACUCAGAAAAUUCAUAUAUGCUUCCUUACUAAUGAGACUUUCUAUAGAACUAAGUGAGGUCAUUCUUUGUUGAUAUAUACUGUAAAGUGCUGGCUAUCAUGUGUUUGAAGAUACCCUAAACUUAACCUAACAUAACCUAUCAAAACCCAAAAGUUACUAUAUAUGGAUUGACUCAAAAAAUUCAUAUAUGCUUCCUUACUAACAAGACUCUCUAUACAACUAAGUGAGGUCAUUCUUUGUUGAUAUAUACUGUAAAGUGCUGGCUAUCAUGUGUUUGAAGAUACCCUAAACUUAACCUAACAUAACCUAUCAAAACCACUAACAGUUACUAUAGGUCUUGUCUCAGAAAAUUCAUAUAUGCUUCCUUACUAAUGAGACUUUCUAUACAACUAAGUGAGGUCAUUCUUUGUUGAUUUAUACUGUAAAGUGCUGGCUAUCAUGUGUUUGAAGAUACCCUAAACUUAACCUAACAUAACCUAUCAAAACCACUAACAGUUACUAUAGGUCUUGUCUCAGAAAAUUCAUAUAUGCUUCCUUACUAAUGAGACUUUCAAUACAACUAAGUGAGGUCAUUCUUUGUUGAUUCAUACUGUAAAGUGCUGGCUAUCAUGUGUUUGAAGAUACCCUAAACUUAACCUAACAUAACCUAUCAAAACCCCAAACAGUUACUAUAUGGAUUGACUCAGAAAAUUCAUAUAUGCUUCCUUACUAAUGAGACUUUCUAUACAACUAAGUGAGGUCAUUCUUUGUUGAUUUAUACUGUAAAGUGCUGGCUAUCAUGUGUUUGAAGAUACCCUAAACUUAACCUAACAUAACCUAUCAAAACCCCAAACAGUUACUAUAUGGAUUGACUCAGAAAAUUCAUAUAUGCUUCCUUACUAAUGAGACUUUCUAUACAACUAAAUGAGGUCAUUCUUUGUUGAUUUAUACUGUAAAGUGCUGGCUAUCAUGUGUUUGAAGAUACCCAAAACUUAACCAAACAUAACCUAUCAAAACCCGAAACAGUUACUAUAUAUGGAUUAACUCAGAAAAUUCAUAUAUGCUUCCUUACUAAUGAGACUUUGAAUACAACUUAGUGAGGUCAUUCUUUGUUGAUAUAUACUGUAAAGUGCUGGCUAUCAUGUGUUUGAAGAUACCCAAACUUAACCUAACAUAACCUAUCAAAACCCCAAACAGUUACUAUAUGGAUUGACUCAGAAAAUUCAUAUAUGCUUCCUUACUAAUGAGACUUUCUAUACAACUAAGUGAGGGAAUUCUUUGAUGAUUUAUACUGUAAAGUGCUGGCUAUCAUGUGUUUGAAGAUACCCUAAACUUAACCUAACAUAACCUAUCAAAACCACUAACAGUUACUAUAGGUCUUGUCUCAGAAAAUUCAUAUAUGCUUCCUUACUAAUGAGACUUUCAAUACAACUAAGUGAGGUCAUUCUUUGUUGAUUCAUACUGUAAAGUGCUGGCUAUCAUGUGUUUGAAGAUACCCUAAACUUAACCUAACAUAACCUAUCAAAACCACUAACAGUUACUAUAGGUCUUGUCUCAGAAAAUUCAUAUAUGCUUCCUUACUAAUGAGACUUUCAAUACAACUAAGUGAGGUCAUUCUUUGUUGAUUUAUACUGUAAAGUGCUGGCUAUCAUGUGUUUGAAGAUACCCUAAACUUAACCUAACAUAACCUAUCAAAACCCCCAAACAGUUACUAUAUGGAUUGACUCAGAAAAUUCAUAUAUGCUUCCUUACUAAUGAGACUUUCUAUACAACUAAGUGAGGUCAUUCUUUGUUGAUAUAUACUGUAAAGUGCUGGCUAUCAUGUGUUUGAAGAUACCCUAAACUUAACCUAACAUAACCUAUCAAAACAAAAAACAUUUACUAUAUAUGGAUUGACUCAGAAAAUUCAUAUAUGCUUCCUUACUAAUGAGACUUUCUAUAGAACUAAGUGAGGUCAUUCUUUGUUGAUUCAUACUGUAAAGUGCUGGCUAUCAUGUGUUUGAAGAUACCCUAAACUUAACCUAACAUAACCUAUCAAAACCCCAAACAGUUACUAUAGAAAAUUCAUAUAUGCUUCCUUACUAAUGAGACUUUCAAUACAACUAAGUGAGGUCAUUCUUUGUUGAUAUAUACUGUAAAGUGCUGGCUAUCAUGUGUUUGAAGAUACCCUAAACUUAACCUAACAUAACCUAUCAAAACCCCAAACAGUUACUAUAGGUCUUGACUCAGAAAAUUCAUAUAUGCUUCCUUACUAAUGAGACUUUCUAUACAACUAAGUGAGGUCAUUCUUUGUUGAUUUAUACUGUAAAGUGCUGGCUAUCAUGUGUUUGAAGAUACCCUAAACUUAACCUAACAUAACCUAUCAAAACCCCAAACAGUUACUAUAGGUCUUGACUCAGAAAAUUCAUAUAUGCUUCCUUACUAAUGAGACUUUCUAUACAACUAAGUGAGGUCAUUCUUUGUUGAUUUAUACUGUAAAGUGCUGGCUAUCAUGUGUUUGAAGAUACCCUAAACUUAACCUAACAUAACCUAUCAAAACCCCAAACAGUUACUAUAGGUCUUGACUCAGAAAAUUCAUAUAUGCUUCCUUACUAAUGAGACUUUCUAUACAACUAAGUGAGGUCAUUCUUUGUUGAUUUAUACUGUAAAGUGCUGGCUAUCAUGUGUUUGAAGAUACCCUAAACUUAACCUAACAUAACCUAUCAAAACCCCAAACAGUUACUAUAGGUCUUGACUCAGAAAAUUCAUAUAUGCUUCCUUACUAAUGAGACUUUCUAUACAACUAUGUGAGGUCAUUCUUUGUUGAUUUAUACUGUAAAGUGCUGGCUAUCAUGUGUUUGAAGAUACCCUAAACUUAACCUAACAUAACCUAUCAAAACCCCAAACAGUUACUAUAGGUCUUGACUCAGAAAAUUCAUAUAUGCUUCCUUACUAAUGAGACUUUCUAUACAACUAAGUGAGGUCAUUCUUUGUUGAUUUAUACUGUAAAGUGCUGGCUAUCAUGUGUUUGAAGAUACCCUAAACUUAACCUAACAUAACCUAUCAAAACCCCAAACAGUUACUAUAUAUGGAUUAACUCAGAAAAUUCAUAUAUGCUUCCUUACUAAUGAGACUCUCUAUACAACUAAGUGAGGUCAUUCUUUGUUGAUUUAUACUGUAAAGUGCUGGCUAUCAUGUGUUUGAAGAUACCCUAAACUUAACCUAACAUAACCUAUCAAAACCCCAAACAGUUACUAUAGGUCUUGACUCAGAAAAUUCAUAUAUGCUUCCUUACUAAUGAGACUUUCUAUACAACUAAGUGAGGUCAUUCUUUGUUGAUUUAUACUGUAAAGUGCUGGCUAUCAUGUGUUUGAAGAUACCCUAAACUUAACCUAACAUAACCUAUCAAAACCCCAAACAGUUACUAUAGGUCUUGACUCAGAAAAUUCAUAUAUGCUUCCUUACUAAUGAGACUUUCAAUACAACUAAGUGAGGUCAUUCUUUGUUGAUUUAUACUGUAAAGUGCUGGCUAUCAUGUGUUUGAAGAUACCCUAAACUUAA